UAAACAUUAAACCUAAACUCUACACCCUAAAUCCCAAAACCUAAAAUCCAACCCCUAAACCCUAACCCCUGAACCCUAAAUCCUAAACCCAAAACCGUAAACCCUAAACCCUAAACCAUAAAAUCUUAACCUUAAACCCUAAACCAUAGAUCCCAAACAUUAAAACCCAAAUCCUACUUUAGGCUUCCGGAAUCCAGUUGCGGUUCUAGUUCUUAUGCUCAAUGAUACACAAAGCAUCUAGUCAUAUUUGACUACAAAUCCAGUAGCAAAGCUUCUUCAUUAUUCCCAAAGCUUUGAUGGUGAAGACGAAAUUCUUAUGAGUUUUUGGUGUUUUGAAUCGUUUAACAAGGAAGCACUACUUUACUUUUCGAGAUCUUGUUGAGGUUCUAGUUUUCUAUUCAAUCAUACACAUGACAUGUAGUCAUAUUUCACUCUGAAACGCUAACCAAGAUUCUUCUUGCUU
rnacentral:sRNA from 1 species